rnacentral:rRNA from 1 species
GCCUUCUACACUGGGAUAACUCCGGGAAACCGGGGCUAAUACCGGAUAUGAAACUUGGUGGCAUCACCGAGUUUGGAAAGUUUUUCGGUAGAAGAUGACCUCGCGGCCUAUCAGCUUGUUGGUGAGGUAAUGGCUCACCAAGGCGACGACGGGUAGCCGGCCUGAGAGGGCGACCGGCCACACUGGGACUGAGACACGGCCCAGACUCCUACGGGAGGCAGCAGUGGGGAAUAUUGGGCAAUGGAGGAAACUCUGACCCAGCGACGCCGCGUGCGGGAUGAAGGCCUUCGGGUUGUAAACCGCUUUCAGUAGGGAAGAAGCGAAAGUGACGGUACCUACAGAAGAAGCACCGGCUAACUAUGUGCCAGCAGCCGCGGUAAUACAUAGGGUGCAAGCGUUGUCCGGAAUUAUUGGGCGUAAAGAGCUCGUAGGUGGUUCGUUACGUCGGAUGUGAAAAUCUGGGGCUCAACCCCAGACCUGCAUCCGAUACGGUCGAGCUAGAGUUUGGUAGGGGAGACUGGAAUUCCUGGUGUAGCGGUGGAAUGCGCAGAUAUCAGGAGGAACACCAAUGGCGAAGGCAGGUCUCUGGGCCAAUACUGACACUGAGGAGCGAAAGCGUGGGGAGCGAACAGGAUUAGAUACCCUGGUAGUCCACGCCGUAAACGGUGGGCGCUAGUUGUGGGAACCUUCCACGGUUUCUGCGACGCAGCUAACGCAUUAAGCGCCCCGCCUGGGGAGUACGAUCGCAAGAUUAAAACUCAAAGGAAUUGACGGGGCCCCGCACAAGCAGCGGAGCAUGCGGCUUAAUUCGACGCAACGCGAAGAACCUUACCAAGGCUUGACAUAUACAGGAAUAUGGCAGAGAUGUCAUA